GACGAACGCUGGCGGCGUGCCUAAUACAUGCAAGUAGAACGCUGAAGGAGGAGCUUGCUUCUCUGGAUGAGUUGCGAACGGGUGAGUAACGCGUAGGUAACCUGCCUGGUAGCGGGGGAUAACUAUUGGAAACGAUAGCUAAUACCGCAUAAUAGCAGUUGUUGCAUGACAACUGUUUGAAAGGUGCAAUUGCACCACUACCAGAUGGACCUGCGUUGUAUUAGCUAGUUGGUGGGGUAACGGCUCACCAAGGCGACGAUACAUAGCCGACCUGAGAGGGUGAUCGGCCACACUGGGACUGAGACACGGCCCAGACUCCUACGGGAGGCAGCAGUAGGGAAUCUUCGGCAAUGGACGGAAGUCUGACCGAGCAACGCCGCGUGAGUGAAGAAGGUUUUCGGAUCGUAAAGCCCUGUUGUAAGAGAAGAACGAGUGUGAGAGUGGAAAGUUCACACUGUGACGGUAUCUUACCAGAAAGGGACGGCUAACUACGUG
rnacentral:rRNA from 1 species